UCUAUGUAAAAAAUGAAAUUUGUGUUCGAAACGCUAAAUGUUUUAAAAUGUUUUUGAAACAGUACCCGUUGAAGUAUUCGUGCUAUUUAGGUAGAGAGAGUAAAUGCUUUAAGAAGAAGAAUUAACAAGGAAAAAUUAGAGGGAAGUAUGAUUUAUAAGCCUACAUAUUUUGAUUAUAAACAAAUCCAUUACUGGGGCUUAAGUUUUGUGCAUCAUCUUUUGCCGCCGCCGCUGCAAUCUCCGCUACUGAGCCGCAGAAGUGGUAGUGGGAAUAGUGGUAAUGAUGAAAGUAGAGAUUUUAUAUAUUUUUUAUUUACUCCCAAUUUAUAUUAAUUAUAUGUUGUUUACAUAUUUGUCGCCAUUUAAUUGCAGAUUGUGUAUUUAAUUUUUAUUUGACUACAUUGGCUUAAUUUAUUAACUAGGAAUUGCAAGCUGGAGAAAACUAGUUCAUGUGUUUAAGGUUAUGUUAUUAACAAUUUCAAGCUUUGUAGUGUUGUGAAUGAUAAGAAGAGUAAUUUGAAAA